rnacentral:lncRNA from 1 species
GGAAGUAAAUUACAUUUAUUAUUAGUUGAAUUUUCUCGAAAAUAUUUAGUACUGUUCAAAAGAACAGAAAUUAUAGUUUGAGUGAGAAUUUUAUGUUUCAACUCUUAAAAACAGUUUUCUACAAAUGCACGCGGUUUUAGUUUAGUGAUUAUAUAUUGAGUUGGUGAAAUUUUUAGAAAACUUUAAUAAACAAAUAAACAAACUAAUCGAAAAAUUGAACACACAAAAUUUAACAAUCAUUCUCUGGGCCCUUUUCCACCGAGGGCAAGAGAAUGAGGGUGAGAGGCGAGACGGGCCGUUUCCGCUUCCGCCUCUAACUCUGCUGUCCUCGGCGAGAGAAAAAAAAUAAACGAGGAGAGAGAAAGAGGAGAGAGAAAAAGUAAUAAGGAUAUUUUGGUCAGUUUGUUGAAAAUUCAGUCCGAAUCUGCAAAAUCGAAAAUAAAGUGGCCCACUUCUGCAAAAAUGCAAAACUAGUGAAUUUUUUAUGCAAAUUGGCCUAGUUAUAAAUAAGAGAAAAGGAAUAAAGUAGUAUUUUAGAAAA